GUAAAGUGGAGCCCAGAACCCACAGUAAAAAACGGGGCGUCACCGAAAAGCCUUACGAGUAGGAAUCGA
rfam:Hymenobacter sp. CCM 8682 NODE_79_length_4479_cov_384.307_ID_157, whole genome shotgun sequence.